CUCUGUAUUUUUCUCCUUCCUAAUGAAAGCAGGAACCUUUCUAAAAGGAAGUAGUAGAAGUUUGCAGCAUUUCUGGCCUCCCAAACAUAUCCAGUGGCUGUUUCUGGCUUCUCAGUUCACUUUUGAAUCCCCUACUUUUCCUUCUCUCUCCUAGUCAGAUGUGUUCUGUGUGUGUGUGUGUGUGUGUGCAUGAGUGUGUGAAUGCAUGAGUGUGUGAAUGCAUGUAUGUGUGAACGUGUAUUUGUGUGUGGAUGAGUGUGUGUGAAUGUUUACGUCUGUGUGUUUGCGUGUGUUUGUGAACAUGUAUGUGCUAACGUGCUUGUGUUUGUGAACAUGAGAGUAUGUGAGACUGUGUGUGUGUGUGUGAAUGAGUGUGUAUGUGUGUGUGCGCACAGGCGCCUGUGUGGCUCAGCCUUGGCCCUUGGCUCUCUGGCUUCUGCAGGCUCUCCCACGGAGCACCCUCUGCUGACUCUGCAGCCCCGCAGGCCUUCCUCGAACAGUCCAUGACAGGAAGCCAGGCUUCCUGGGGUCCUGAGUCAGCAGAGCAGGAAGGAAACAAAGGCCUCAGAACCGCAGAAGAGAAAGAAGGCAGCCUGAAGACAGAAGGCGACCCUCUGAAGACAGGUCUAGAGACUUAACGUAUGAUGUUCCUGGAGUCCUGUUGCCUGUAAGGGAAGCACAAACCCUGAGUUGCACUGUGUCCUCUGACCUGUCUGAUCCCAGGUACCUCUUCAGUAGAAAAAUUCAAUAAGGUUUCUGACACUUUCUACCUAUGGGCCAGUUACAUACAGAAGAGAAAACUGAAACUGAAAACUGGUUUGUCAUUUUUACAGAAAGUCACUGCAAAGAAGGAGAAUUCCAAGUGCAAAUGACUUGAGUACGUAAUUCUUUUGUGCCAUUUCUGUUACUAUAGGGUUAAUCCAGUAUGAAGAAAGUGACAAAGGGCAGCAUUUAUUUUUAUGGAUUCCACAUUAUAACCAAGUACUUGGCAACCUGCCCUCUCAUAUGUUGCGAAACAAAAAUGUUGCUUUCAGUGUGUUUUUAAUAGGCCAAGCAGUUUGUUUGAUCACAGUGGUCGGGUAUACACUCAGAGACGCCAGAACAUUCUCAUUGCGUUUUCACUGCUUUGGUUAACAUCUUGGUCUCCUGUCCGCACUCUAAAGAACCAUUUGAGGACUCAGGGGAGUCAUGUCCUGGGAGUGACUAUGGGUCCUAGGCCACAGCCCCCACUCUCUCAGCCUAAACCACUCAAAGGCACUCAGAUCCGGAUUUGCAAAAUAUUUUGCAAAACUUGCAAAAACCCCACCAGUUUUAGAUUUUGAAAUUGUUGGCACAGGCAACCGUCUACAAUCAUGAAAUUCUCAUGAGUGAGGUG
rnacentral:lncRNA from 1 species